GACGAACGCUGGCGGCGUGCCUAAUACAUGCAAGUAGAACGCUGAAGGAGGAGCUUGCUCUUCUGGAUGAGUUGCGAACGGGUGAGUAACGCGUAGGUAACCUGCCUGGUAGCGGGGGAUAACUAUUGGAAACGAUAGCUAAUACCGCAUAACAGUAGAUGUUGCAUGACAUUUGCUUAAAAGGUGCAAUUGCACCACUACCAGAUGGACCUGCGUUGUAUUAGCUAGUUGGUGGGGUAACGGCUCACCAAGGCGACGAUACAUAGCCGACCUGAGAGGGUGAUCGGCCACACUGGGACUGAGACACGGCCCAGACUCCUACGGGAGGCAGCAGUAGGGAAUCUUCGGCAAUGGGCGGAAGUCUGACCGAGCAACGCCGCGUGAGUGAAGAAGGGUUUCGGAUCGUAAAGCUCUGUUGUAAGAGAAGAACGAGUGUGAGAGUGGAAAGUUCACACUGUGACGGUAUCUUACCAGAAAGGGACGGCUAACUACGUG
rnacentral:rRNA from 1 species